rnacentral:rRNA from 1 species
AGUGAACGCUGGCGGUAGGCCUAACACAUGCAAGUCGAACGGCAGCACAGUAAGAGCUUGCUCUUACGGGUGGCGAGUGGCGGACGGGUGAGGAAUACAUCGGAAUCUACUUUUUCGUGGGGGAUAACGUAGGGAAACUUACGCUAAUACCGCAUACGACCUACGGGUGAAAGCAGGGGAUCUUCGGACCUUGCGCGAUUGAAUGAGCCGAUGUCGGAUUAGCUAGUUGGCGGGGUAAAGGCCCACCAAGGCGGCGAUCCGUAGCUGGUCUGAGAGGAUGAUCGGCCACACUGGAACGGAAACACGGUCCAGAGUCCUACGGGAGGCAGCAGUGGGGAAUAUUGGGCAAUGGGCGCAAGCCUGAUCCAGCCAUACCGCGUGGGUGAAGAAGGCCUUCGGGUUGUAAAGCCCUUUUGUUGGGAAAGAAAAGCAGCAGGUUAAUACCCCGCUGUUCUGACGGUACCCAAAGAAUAAGCACCGGCUAACUUCGUG